rnacentral:rRNA from 1 species
GGUUAAGUGAAUAAGGGCGCACGGUGGAUGCCUUGGCACUAGGAGCCGAUGAAGGACGGGACUAACACCGAUAUGCUUUGGGGAGCUGUAAGUAAGCUAUGAUCCAGAGAUUUCCGAAUGGGGGAACCCAAUAUCUUUUAUAGGAUAUUACUUUUCAGUGAAUACAUAGCUGAUUAGAGGUAGACGCAGAGAACUGAAACAUCUUAGUACCUGCAGGAAGAGAAAGAAAAUUCGAUUCCCUGAGUAGCGGCGAGCGAAACGGGAAGAGCCCAAACCAACAAGCUUGCUUGUUGGGGUUGUAGGACUCCAAUAUGGUAGUCUGUUAGUAUAGUUGAAGGAUUUGGAAAAUUCCGCUAAAGAGGGUGAAAGCCCCGUAGACGAAAUGCUAACAACACCUAGGAGGAUCCUGAGUACGGCGGAACACGAGAAAUUCCGUCGGAAUCCGCGGGGACCAUCCCGCAAGGCUAAAUACUCCCUAGUGACCGAUAGUGAACCAGUACCGUGAGGGAAAGGUGAAAAGCACCCCGGAAGGGGAGUGAAAUAGAUCCUGAAACCGUGUGCCUACAACAAGUCAAAGCUCGUUAAUGAGUGAUGGCGUGCCUUUUGUAGAAUGAACCGGCGAGUUACGAUUGCAUGCGAGGUUAAGUCGAAGAGACGGAGCCGCAGCGAAAGCGAGUCUGAAUAGGGCGAAUGAGUAUGUAGUCGUAGACCCGAAACCAUGUGAUCUACCCAUGUCCAGGUUGAAGGUGCGGUAAAACGCACUGGAGGACCGAACCCACGUACGUUGAAAAGUGCGGGGAUGAGGUGUGGGUAGCGGAGAAAUUCCAAACGAACUUGGAGAUAGCUGGUUCUCUCCGAAAUAGCUUUAGGGCUAGCCUCGGAAUUGAGAAUGAUGGAGGUAGAGCACUGUUUGGACUAGGGGCCCAUCUCGGGUUACCGAAUUCAGAUAAACUCCGAAUGCCAUUCAUUUAUAUCCGGGAGUCAGACUGCGAGUGAUAAGAUCCGUAGUCGAAAGGGAAACAGCCCAGACCACCAGCUAAGGUCCCAAAAUAUAUGUUAAGUGGAAAAGGAUGUGGGGUUGCACAGACAACUAGGAUGUUGGCUUAGAAGCAGCCACCAUUUAAAGAGUGCGUAAUAGCUCACUAGUCGAGUGACCCUGCGCCGAAAAUGUACCGGGGCUAAACAUAUUACCGAAGCUGUGGACUACACCAUUAGGUGUAGUGGUAGGAGAGCGUUCUAAGGGCGUUGAAGGUCGAUCGUGAGGACGGCUGGAGCGCUUAGAAGUGAGAAUGCCGGUAUGAGUAGCGAAAGACAGGUGAGAAUCCUGUCCACCGUAUGACUAAGGUUUCCUGGGGAAGGCUCGUCCGCCCAGGGUUAGUCGGGACCUAAGCCGAGGCCGAUAGGCGUAGGCGAUGGACAACAGGUUGAUAUUCCUGUACCAGUUGUUUUUGUUUGAGCAAUGGAGGGACGCAGUAGGCUAAGGAAUGCAUGCGAUUGGAAGUGCAUGUCCAAGCAAUGAGUCUUGAGUAGAGUUAAAUGCUUUACUCUCUAAGGACAAGUUGUGACGGGGAGCGAAAUAAUAGUAGCGAAGUUCCUGAUGUCACACUGCCAAGAAAAGCUUCUAGUGAGAAAACAACUGCCCGUACCGUAAACCGACACAGGUAGUCGAGGAGAGUAUCCUAAGGUGAGCGAGCGAACUCUCGUUAAGGAACUCGGCAAAAUGACCCCGUAACUUCGGGAGAAGGGGUGCUGACUUCGGUCAGCCGCAGUGAAUACGCCCAAGCGACUGUUUAUCAAAAACACAGGUCUCUGCAAAAUCGUAAGAUGAAGUAUAGGGGCUGACGCCUGCCCGGUGCUGGAAGGUUAAGAGGAUGGGUUAGCUUCGGCGAAGCUCAGAAUUGAAGCCCCAGUAAACGGCUGCCGUAACUAUAACGGUCCUAAGGUAGCGAAAUUCCUUGUCGGGUAAGUUCCGACCCGCACGAAAGGCGUAACGAUUUGGGCACUGUCUCAACGAGAGACUCGGUGAAAUUUUAGUACCUGUGAAGAUGCAGGUUACCCGCGACAGGACGGAAAGACCCCAUGGAGCUUUACUGUAGUUUGAUAUUGAGUGUUUGUACCACAUGUACAGGAUAGGUAGGAGCCGAUGAGACCGGAACGCUAGUUUCGGAGGAGGCGCUGGUGGGAUACUACCCUUGUGUUAUGAACCCUCUAACCCGCACCACUAAUCGUGGUGGGAGACAGUGUCAGAUGGGCAGUUUGACUGGGGCGGUCGCCUCCUAAAAGGUAACGGAGGCGCCCAAAGGUUCCCUCAGAAUGGUUGGAAAUCAUUCGAAGAGUGUAAAGGCAGAAGGGAGCUUGACUGCGAGACCUACAAGUCGAGCAGGGACGAAAGUCGGGCUUAGUGAUCCGGUGGUUCCGCAUGGAAGGGCCAUCGCUCAACGGAUAAAAGCUACCCUGGGGAUAACAGGCUUAUCUCCCCCAAGAGUCCACAUCGACGGGGAGGUUUGGCACCUCGAUGUCGGCUCGUCGCAUCCUGGGGCUGUAGUCGGUCCCAAGGGUUGGGCUGUUCGCCCAUUAAAGCGGCACGCGAGCUGGGUUCAGAACGUCGUGAGACAGUUCGGUCCCUAUCCGUCGCGGGCGUUGGAAAUUUGAGAGGAGCUGUCCUUAGUACGAGAGGACCGGGAUGGACUUACCGCUGGUGUACCAGUUGUUCUGCCAAGGGCAUUGCUGGGUAGCUAUGUAGGGAAGGGAUAAACGCUGAAAGCAUCUAAGUGUGAAGCCCACCUCAAGAUGAGAUUUCCCAUUUCUUUAAGAAAGUAAGACCCCUGAGAGAUGAUCAGGUAGAUAGGUUGGAAGUGGAAGGCUAGUGAUAGUUGGAGCGGACCAAUACUAAUCGGUCGAGGACUUAACCAA